rnacentral:tRNA from 1 species
GGCUUGCCCGCUGGUAUUGCUCCGUCGCACCACUCAUAAUGGUGAGGUCCCUGGUUCAAAUCCAGGCGGAGCUA